rnacentral:rRNA from 1 species
UCAAGCUGAAAAGAGCGCAAGGGGAAUGCCUUGGCAUCAGGAGCCGACGAAGGACGUGACAAGCUGCGAUAAGCCACGGGGAGGAGCAAAUAUCCGAUAUAUCCGUGGAUUUCCGAAUGGGGGAACCCGCUCAAGCAAUACUUGAGUAUCGUGCGUUGAAUCAAAUAGGCGUACGAAGGGAACGGCCUGAACUGAAACAUCUAAGUAGGGCCAGGAAAAGACAUCAACCGAGAUUCCGCUAGUAGUGGCGAGCGAACGCGGAAGAGGCCAAACCGGAGGAUUUUAUUCUCCGGGGUUGCGGACAGACAUCAUGACCAGAGAAAGUUAGGAGAACGGCGUGGGAAAGCCGGCCACAGAAGGUGAGAGCCCUGUAUCUGAAAAUGAAGACUGGCAGUCUGGAUCCAGAGUACCGCGGGACACGUGAAACCCCGUGGGAAACCGGGUGGACCACCAUCCAAGCCUAAAUACUACCUGAUGACCGAUAGAGGAGCAGUACCGUGAGGGAAAGGUGAAAAGGACCCCGGGAGGGGAGUGAAAGAGAACCUGAAACCUUGUGCUUACAAGCAGUCAAAGCACGUUAAAGUGUGAUGACGUACUUUUUGUAGAACGGUCCGGCGAGUUAUAGUAACGAGCAAGCUUAAGGUAUUGAGUACCGGAGGCGAAGCGAGAGCGAGUCUGAAUAGGGCGUAAAGUUCGUUGCCAUAGACCCGAAACCGGGUGACCUAUCCAUGAGCAGGCUGAAGUGAGAGUAAAAUCUCAUGGAGGGCCGAACCGACCCCCGUUGCAAUGGUGGCGGAUGACUUGUGGAUAGCGGAGAAAUUCCAAUCGAACUCGGAGAUAGCUGGUUCUCCCCGAAAUAGCUUUAGGGCUAGCGUUAUGUUAGAUUACCGGAGGUAAAGCACUGAAUGGUGGCGGGGCCGAUAAGGUUACCAAGACCUAUCAAACUCUGAAUGCCGGAUAAUUGAUGCAUAGCAGUCAGACAGCGUGAGAUAAGUUUCGUUGUCAAAAGGGAAACAGCCCAGACCCACAGCUAAGGUCCCAAAUUCAUGCUAAGUGGAAAACGAUGUGGAAUUGCGAAAACAACCAGGAUGUUGGCUUAGAAGCAGCCACUCAUUAAAAGAGUGCGUAAUAGCUCACUGGUCGAGUGACUCUGCGCGGAAAAUAUAACGGGGCUAAGCGUAACACCGAAGCUUGGGCUGCACAGCAAUGUGCGGGGUAGGGGAGCGUCGAAUAUGGGGUGAAGUCGCAGCGGAAGCAGCGGUGGACUGUAUUCGAGUGAGAAUGCCGGAAUGAGUAGCGAGAAUUAUGUGGGAAUCAUAAUGGCCGAAAAUCUAAGGUUUCUUGGGGAAGGUUCGUCCGCCCAAGGUAAGUCGGGAGCUAAGCUCAGGCCGAGAGGCGUAGGCGAUGCACAUACGGUAGAAAUUCCGUAACCACCGAAACUUAAACAGAGGGACACUUCGAAAUAGCGGAACCCGGGCGUUGGUUGACCCGGGCGUAAGGGAGCGAAAUUAGAGUAGCGAAGUCCGCGAUGUUCGGAGGCGAGAAAAGCUCUGAGGUAUGCUAAGGUGCCCGUACCGCAAACCGACACAGGUAGAUGAGGAGAGAAUCCUAAGGCCAACGGGAGAAGGGUUGUUAAGGAACUCGGCAAAUUGACCCCGUAACUUCGGAAGAAGGGGAGCCCCCUACGGGGGGUCGCAGAGAAAUGGCCCAAGCAACUGUUUACCAAAAACACAGGUCUAUGCUAAAUCGAAAGAUGACGUAUAUGGGCUGACGCCUGCCCGGUGCCGGAAGGUUAAGAGGAGAUGUCAGGCAACGAAGCAUUGAAUUUAAGCCCCGGUAAACGGCGGCCGUAACUAUAACGGUCCUAAGGUAGCGAAAUUCCUUGUCAGGUAAG